rnacentral:rRNA from 1 species
CCUACGGGUGGCAGCAGUGGGGAAUAUUGGACAAUGGGGGGAACCCUGAUCCAGCCAUGCCGCGUGUGUGAAGAAGGCCCUCGGGUUGUAAAGCACUUUCAGUGAGGAAGAACGCCUGGUGGUUAAUACCCAUCAGGAAAGACAUCACUCACAGAAGAAGCACCGGCUAACUCCGUGCCAGCAGCCGCGGUAAUACGGAGGGUGCGAGCGUUAAUCGGAAUUACUGGGCGUAAAGCGCGCGUAGGUGGCUUGAUAAGCCGGUUGUGAAAGCCCCGGGCUCAACCUGGGAACGGCAUCCGGAACUGUCAAGCUAGAGUGCAGGAGAGGAAGGUAGAAUUCCCGGUGUAGCGGUGAAAUGCGUAGAGAUCGGGAGGAAUACCAGUGGCGAAGGCGGCCUUCUGGACUGACACUGACACUGAGGUGCGAAAGCGUGGGUAGCAAACAGGAUUAGAUACUCCGGUAGUC